UGCGGCCCCUGUGCCCGUAUCGACCAACUCGAGCUGGCUCUCCCCCGUAUCCCUCCCCUUCUCCUUCUCUCCCUCCCAGCGGCGGGCGCUUCGUCGGCGGCGAGCCUCGUCGGACGCUCUCCUCGACGGCGUCGGGUACCUCCCCGCGCGGCCCCUGGUUGGCCCGUCGGUGGCGUCGCCGGAGCUCAUUAGGUCCGUGACCGAGCACCAACGGCAGCUCGCCCAGGCGCUUGUCGACAAGGCCAAGGCCAUCUGCGAACACCACGGGGUUGAUGCAGAGAUCGUCAUCGAGGUGGGUGAUCCCAAGGAAACCAUAUGUCAAGCUGCAGACAAGUUGAAUGUUGAUCUGCUCAUCCUGGGCAGCCACAGCCGUGGACCUAUACAGAGGUACCGAUCAUAAUCCUUUUCUGCUCAUCCGGAUUUCAUUUUGAGUUCUGGACAUGUGUUACUCCCUUGCGCUCUGUUCUAAAUCAAUUACCAAAUUCCUGUCAAUGCUAAUUGCAAUGUUGUUCUUAUUAUUUGCUCACAAUGUGACUGACGCGUGAAUUGGAGAUGGAUAAAUACUUGUUGUCAAGAGCUACAUUUUAUUUAGAUAAAUAGGUAGCUGUCAGAUACAAAGUGUUGAUUAGUGCGAGCGCGUGACGGGGCGGCGGCGGCAGCGCACGAGCACGCGGGUGACAAGCGAGGUAGCUACGUGCGACGUUGAACGGCGUGGACAGCACGACGCGUUGGCUUCCCGGCACGGGCGUCUCAGCCACAACAUCCACAUGAAAGUACUAGCUCAUCGUCAUGGAGAAGCCCGGCGGCGAGGGCACCUCCAAGCACCAGAUGAUCGACUGCUACAUACAGACCCUCGCCAAGGUCCUCGGAAGCGAGGAGGAGGCCAAGAAGAAGAUUUACAACGUCUCGUGUGAGCGCUACUUUGGGUUCGGGUGUGAGAUUGAUGAAGAGACAUCCAACAAGCUUGAAGGUAUUCCUGGUGUUCUUUUUGUGCUCCCUGAUUCCUAUGUUGACCCUGAACACAAGGACUAUGGAGGCGUCGACUUCAAGGUCAAGAUGGUUAACAUUGCCGGCAAGAAGCUUAAGCUCGCCGUCUGGGACAAUGGAGGCGUUGUUAAUUACCUAGUGUUGGCAGCGAGACAGUGAGAGCUGCAACUCCGACAACCUUGAGGGGCAACUCCAAUUUCCUCUGGCUUAACCAUCGUACACAGGAAAGGUUUAGGACCUUGACCAACUCUUACUACAGAGGGGCACAAGGGAUCAUCAUGGUGUAUGAUGUUACUCGCCGAGACACGUUCACAAAUCUGUCUGACAUAUGGGACAAGGAAAUUGACCUGUAUUCGACCAACCAGGACCGCAUAGGAAACAAAGUGGACAAGGCUCUUAAUCUGUUCCAGCUUACUAGUUUUCUCAGGAGCAAGAACAUAUAUUUGAUAUGCAGUGUCUUCUCUCUCUCACUCUCUACAUAUUAGUACUUAUGUUCUUCAUAUACGUGCAUGAUGGCCGCCUGCUACCCUACUUAAAUUGGACAGAAAUAUAUGUUUUGCAUAUGUGAGGCCACGUUGGUUGGGCGUUUCCUGAA